rnacentral:tRNA from 1 species
GAUUGUGGCUCAGUGGUACAGUGCUCGCCUCGUGUGCAUGAGGCACUGGGUUUGAUCCUCAGCACAACA